rnacentral:ncRNA from 1 species
ACGGCCUGCUCGUGAUCGUCUUCUCACCCGUGUCACGCGGCAGGCACGGGAAGGCCCCGCGCGGUCGAUGCGCGCGGGGCCUUCCG